CCCGGGAGGCUGCAGUGGGGAAUAUUGGACAAUGGGCGAAAGCCUGAUCCAGCCAUGCCGCGUGUGUGAAGAAGGCCUUCGGGUUGUAAAGCACUUUCAGUGGGGAAGAAAGCCUUGGGGCUAAUACCCUCGAGGAAGGACAUCACCCACAGAAGAAGCACCGGCUAACUCCGUGCCAGCAGCCGCGGUAAUACGGAGGGUGCGAGCGUUAAUCGGAAUUACUGGGCGUAAAGCGCGCGUAGGCGGUCUGAUAAGCCGGUUGUGAAAGCCCCGGGCUCAACCUGGGAACGGCAUCCGGAACUGUCAGGCUAGAGUGCAGGAGAGGAAGGUAGAAUUCCCGGUGUAGCGGUGAAAUGCGUAGAGAUCGGGAGGAAUACCAGUGGCGAAGGCGGCCUUCUGGACUGACACUGACGCUGAGGUGCGAAAGCGUGGGUAGCAAACAGGAUUAGAUACCCUUGUAGUC
rnacentral:rRNA from 1 species